ACCACGACGUGCGCCACUUAACACCCCCCACUCGCCCUCAAUUUUUGGUAGCCGCACGCCCCCUCCGCUCUAUGCUUCUAUGUCGCUCCGCCCCACUCUCUCUUCAUCGACGGCGAGCGGUGGCCCCUUCUCCGGUCGAUUCACGGUCGUAGGCAUCGGUUCCACCGGUCACAAUGCCAAGGAAGUGCAAGUUAGAUGGUGACAUUGAGGAGGUAAACCCCUUAAAGAAGCAUAAGCCUCCCACAGAUCGGAACAGGGCUUCUCCUAGUGCUCUUGUGACUGCCUGUAAGGACAUGUCAGAUGAGAGAAUGUCCGCGAUUGAUGACAUGGAUUUCACUAGUCUGAGGAAUAUCAAAUGUGAUAAUCUCUUCAAUCAGCUUUCUCAAUGGCUUGCUGGUCUAUAUGACCCUGAUUCAUGUGAGGUUGUUACCUGGUCACGGAAGGUUACAUGUCAAUGAAGAGUCCGUGCAUCGGAUAAUGGGGUGCCCCGAGGUGAUAUUGCGGUGGAUUUAAAGGCUCCUACAGAUGCACAACUUGAGCUUGCGGGAGAUCUUUUUGGUGACCUUGGACAUUCUCCUAGAACUGUGGAUGUAUUAAAUCUUAUCUUGAGCACUAACGGGCAUGAUGACAACUUCAAGCACUUGUGUCUUGUGCUUGCUGCCAGCACUGUGAUGGUGCUGACAACUUCCAACAAGAUCAGCACCAGAUGGUAUCCUGCGUUGGUUCAGAUUCUGAUCAUGAGCAUGAUGAUGGUGGCGGUGAUGGUCACUCUGACGAAGAUCUAGAUUUUCACAUUCAUUACCACGGUUCUUCAGUUGGUUUUGAUGCUUUCGGUAGCGGUGGACCGAACGCCCAUGAGACUUCAGGUAGUGGGGCAGCGAAUGCAGAUGUGGGUGAAACCAUUUUCGCAACUCCAAUGUGUCGAUAAGGUCAGCUGGAAUUGGUGGAACCACCACUCCUGCAGGAACCGACCAGCCUCUUGAGUCUCGGAUUAUGCUUACUGCAUGUUCCGGGAAUGUAUCUGGUGAUGGAUUGCAUAACCAGCCAGAUACGACUGUUACUCAAAAUGAGGCUGUUGUUGAUGCUUCUGUGAAGAGGUGCGGUUCUUCUCUUGUCCGUAACUUGGAUAAGAAAUAUUCCAGGCGUCGCAAGGAAUUACGUCUACCUUCUCCACCCAUGGCCACUAGUACAACUGUCUUUGACCAGCCGUCGUUGGAUGAUACACAUCAUUGUACCAAGGCAAUGGUCAUCAAUGAGCUUGGCAUUGUAGGCCCUGAUAAGGGCAUUAACUCAGUAAUUGCCGAUCCCACGCGGAAGAAGCAGCAUCCUCGGAACGGUUCGGAUGCUCCAUCUAUUAGUGUUGCCGGCCUUCCGCAAAUGCGGUCUACCAGCGUGGGCGUCACAUCUGAGGUGGUACCUAGUAAUCUUACAUGUUCUUCGGCAGAUGUGGACUCGUCUGACACGUCAUGCAGCAAGAAGAUCAUGUUGCUGUGAGAAAGGUUAAGGUGUCUUCUAAAGUUGCAGUUGCAACUAGGUCUUCUCCUCGUUUCACUUCCAAGGAUCUGAAAGAUGAUUUUAAAGACUGCUCGUGGUUACUUCUCCAAUAGCCGUUGUGCAAGAUGAUGCCCCUGUGAGGAAUUCACCAGAUGCUGGUUUUGGAGCUGUGGAACAGCUCGCGGCAGCGGCCACUAUUACUCAAGUGGUAGAAGAGAUUGCCAAUGUUGUUCUUAGCACUCAACCUGAAACUUUUGUUGAUCAAGCUCAAGGAAAUGCUCCUACAGGUAGUGUUACCAUAGCUGAAGAUGCCCAAGCUCCUGCCAAAGCACCAUGUGUUGUUCAAUCUCAAGUUGAAUCUGCCCAAUCCACUAUGGAAGAACCAGUUGAAACUGAAGCUGCAGUAGGUGUGGAAGCUCAAGCUGGGGAUGACCAAGUCACCACCCAAGAAUUCAGCAGUAAUGUAGAUGUAGAAGAUGUUGCUGCUAAGAGGGCCUACUGGGAUUUCACACCACCAUCUUGCUCUCUUGGCCUAGAUUUUGGCCUUACACCGCCAGCACUAGAUAUUACUACGACAGCCGCAGUCCCAGCUGCAGUACCAGCACCGGCCCCAGUGGUUCUUUCGACAACUCAAGCACCAGUAGUGGACCCAGCGGAUAACAAUGCUCCCCAAGAACCAGCAACAGCAUCCCCAAUUGAUCAGACGACGGCAGCACCUCAGGAUUUAAAGAAUGCAAGAGAUAAUCUUGUUGACGCUAAGCCGGUUUCAUGCUCUUAGCCUGCUGACAUUGGUAAGUGAAGGCAUUUAUGUGUCCCCUAAGAGUGAUGGGAUGGAUGUCUGCUUUUGAAGACUUUUUUAUGCUUUCAGUUUGCUCCUUAUCUGUCUAUUUAUGCUAUGUAUGGACCCCCCCCCCCCAUGUAAUGACUUUUGCUUUUGCGUGUGUGCUAUGGAAUUAACUAUGUGUUUUCAUUUCACAUUUGUUCUUCCCUUUUAUGUUGUCUAGUCUAUGGACGUAUUACUGGUAUUUAUUGUUCAUUAUUCCUGGUAAUAUUACUAACAUAUGACUGAUAAUUAUAGCGCUCUACUUUUUUUGCCGCUAACUGCAACUACAUGAAAGAUAUUGUACUUUUUUUGCUGACCAUUUAAUUGUACGGUAAGUUUUACCAUGAUAACCUUUGCGAAUGUUAUGCUGGUAUUUAUAUAGAGACCAGAGCUUUUUAUAACAAAAGUGUUCAAACUAACUGGCUUCACUUUUUGUGCAAACUAGUUACCCACAUGGUAACAUUUUUUAUCACACCCCUGGUAACUAUAUUUUGUUGUUUGUGAAGGUGGUAACUAUAACAUCCAAGUGAUUUUUAUGCUAUAACUCCUGAACUAAUUAACCAUAUGAUCCCCUGAUAACUUAUGUUAUUACCAUGCUGAUAGCUUCAACCCUUUUCUUUUGUUGCUGAAAAUACACGCCCCAUCCCCCCCCCCCCACACACACACAAACCAUUCUAAUACAUUCAUGCUCACCCUUUAACUAUCCUGACCCCCCCUCAUUUUUUCCAUUUUUUCUCUCUGUAGUAAUUAUAUCAUCAAGCUGAACUAACUAUCACUUUUUCUUUAGCUGUUUUUCCACAUAUUUGACACCUUUUCAUGACAUUUUCUUUCGGUUCACAAACUGACCUGAUCCCAAAUUUUUGAAGAGCGUCAAGUUCGAGUUUAUGAUUUUGAUGUUGAAGACAAUGAUGUAAUUGUGUGGGUUGAAAAAGUCGAACGUGCCAGUGUACAAAUUAUGCUUCUGUAAAAGACCACCCCCAUCAGCCCUGAAUUUGUUACACCAGUUAUUCAACCUCCCAUUGGUAUUCAUCAGCCAGUGUGACUCCUAAAUCGUACAUUCGGAAAGUUAGGGUAACCCGCCCAUCGCAGUUUCUACUGCCUCCAUAUUGUGGCCUCAUGGCAUCUGCACUCAAAGAGGCUAUUUACGCAGAAGUUAUCAAGCACACCACUGAUUCAGUUGACUCCAGGAUAAAACAUAUUAGGGUUAUUGACAUCGAUGGGUGGUGGGUCACAUUGGAGGAGCUUGCUAAUAGUGUGAAAGAAGGUGGUCAUGUUUCGAAUAAUAUUGCAGAGUUGCACAUCCGAACUCUUGCCGAUUUUGUACCCCAGGGAAGAUUAUUUUUCCGUGGUUGCUAUCAGUAUAUCUCCUCGUAGGUGAUUUCAAGAGCAAGUGCCUAAUCAAACAUUUCCGUCGUGAUCGAAACUACAUACUUAGUCACCAAAAUCAGAAUAUAGCCCUUCGCUUAUCACAAAUGCGACGAAGCUUAUGAAUGGUAUUAAAAAAGCCUAGUUGAUUGUGUACAAGGAAUCGAGUAACCAGAUCCAAGACUAUGAUCUUGUGUACAUCGAUGUGUUCAAACAGGACAAUGGCACUGAUUGCGGUUUCUUCGCGUUCAAGAUCUUGGAGUUCUGGGAUGGUAAAAUAUGUCGGCAAUAACUCAGGAGCAGAUCCCGGCGUUGAGGAAGAUAUUGACAAGCAUGUGGCUGGACCAUCCUCAUAACAGAUGCACGCAGUGGCGCUAUCACUUGUUCAAUAAGAAGUAAUUGAGAUUUUUGAAGGCAAGAAACACAGGGGUGAUUGGCAAGAACAUUAAACAGGAUAAUUACAGUACAACAUGAGCAUCUCCAUUAAAAGGCACCACUUUUCUUUAUCCAAUGGUAGUUCUUAACAAAAGUGGAUGAUAACUUUUACUAUGUACAGAUUGGGAACUUGUUUUCUUCAUGCAAUAUAGCAUUGUAGACAGAAAAAUGAACCUAUUGUAAUGCAUUUUCCAUCGUAGGACUGUAUGAUUUUUGUGAUCAAUGAAGGUUCCUCUUUUCUUUA